UACGAAGGGGGCUAGCGUUGCUCGGAAUCACUGGGCGUAAAGGGCGCGUAGGCGGCCAUUUAAGUCGGGGGUGAAAGCCUGUGGCUCAACCACAGAAUUGCCUUCGAUACUGGAUGGCUUGAGACCGGAAGAGGUAAGUGGAACUGCGAGUGUAGAGGUGAAAUUCGUAGAUAUUCGCAAGAACACCAGUGGCGAAGGCGGCUUACUGGUCCGGUUCUGACGCUGAGGCGCGAAAGCGUGGGGAGCAAACAGG
rnacentral:rRNA from 1 species